GUAGGUGGCAAGCGUUGUCCGGAAUUAUUGGGCGUAAAGCGCGCGCAGGCGGUCCUUUAAGUCUGAUGUGAAAGCCCACGGCUCAACCGUGGAGGGUCAUUGGAAACUGAGGGACUUGAGUACAGAAGAGGAAAGCGGAAUUCCAAGUGUAGCGGUGAAAUGCGUAGAGAUUUGGAGGAACACCAGUGGCGAAGGCGGCUUUCUGGUCUGUAACUGACGCUGAGGCGCGAAAGCGUGGGGAGCAAACAGGGAUUAGAUACCCUGGUAGUCCACGCCGUAAACGAUGAGUGCUAAGUGUUAGGGGGUUUCCCGCCCCUUAGUGCUGCAGCUAACGCAUUAAGCACUCCGCCUGGGGAGUACGGCCGCAAGGCUG
rnacentral:rRNA from 1 species